rnacentral:rRNA from 1 species
CGCCCCUCGUGUCCUCGCGGGCCGUGGAGGGACGCACCCGCGCCCUGCGCGGCUCGCAAACGAACCCCGGCGCGAGAAGCACCAAGGAAAUUGAGUACUAGGAGCGCACCCCCGUAGCCUCGGCGUCGGGGGCGCGCCUUCUUCUGGUGAUAAUCUAAACGACUCUCGGCAACGGAUAUCUCGGCUCUCGCAUCGAUGAAGAACGUAGCGAAAUGCGAUACUUGGUGUGAAUUGCAGAAUCCCGUGAACCAUCGAGUCUUUGAACGCAAGUUGCGCCCGAGGCCUCCUGGUCGAGGGCACGUCUGCCUGGGUGUCACGCAUCGUCGCCCCCGCUCCCCUCGGCUCACGAGGGCGGGGGCGGAUACUGGUCUCCCGCGCGCUCCCGCUCGCGGCUGGCCCAAAAUCGAGUCCCCGGCGACGGUCGCCACGACGAGCGGUGGUUGAGAGACCCUCGGACACUGUCGUGCGCGCGCCCGUCGCCCCCGGGAUCUCCUGGACCCUCGGGCAUCGACCUUCUAGGAUGCUCUCGUUGCGACCCCAGGUCAGGCGGGACUACCCGCUGAG